rnacentral:rRNA from 1 species
GAUGAACGCUGACAGAAUGCUUAACACAUGCAAGUCAACUGUGGCGGAAGGGUGAGUAACGCGUAAAGAACUUGCCUCACGGAUAGGGAAAACAUUUGGAAACGAAUGCUAAUACCUGAUACUGUGAGAGAGCUUUGCGUCCCAUUAGCUAGUUGGAGAGGUAACGGCUCACCAAGGCGAUGAUGGGUAGCCGGCAUGAGAGGGUGAUCGGCCACAAGGGGACUGAGUAACGGCCCUUACUCCGAGGGGAGGCAGCAGUUGGGAAUAUGGGACAAUGGACCAAAGGCUGAUCCAGCAAUGGUGUGUUCACGAUGAAGUUUUCUGAAUGUAAAGUGCUUUCAGUUAGGAAGCAGUACCAUCAGAAGAAGGGACGGCUAAAUACGUGCCAGCCGCCGCGGUAAUAC